rnacentral:rRNA from 1 species
AGUCGAGGGGUAGAGUUCUUCGGAACUUGAGACCGGCGCACGGGUGCGUAACGCGUAUGCAAUCUACCUUUUACAGAGGGAUAGCCCAGAGAAAUUUGGAUUAAUACCUCAUAGCAUAGCAGCUUCGCAUGAAGCCGCUAUUAAAGUCACAACGGUAAAAGAUGAGCAUGCGUCCCAUUAGCUAGUUGGUAAGGUAACGGCUUACCAAGGCUACGAUGGGUAGGGGUCCUGAGAGGGAGAUCCCCCACACUGGUACUGAGACACGGACCAGACUCCUACGGGAGGCAGCAGUGAGGAAUAUUGGACAAUGGGCGCAAGCCUGAUCCAGCCAUGCCGCGUGCAGGAUGACGGUCCUAUGGAUUGUAAACUGCUUUUAUACGAGAAGAAACACUCCAACGUGUUGGAGCUUGACGGUAUCGUAAGAAUAAGGAUCGGCUAACUCCGUGCCAGCAGCCGCGGUAAUACGGAGGAUCCAAGCGUUAUCCGGAAUCAUUGGGUUUAAAGGGUCCGUAGGCGGUUUAAUAAGUCAGUGGUGAAAGCCCAUCGCUCAACGGUGGAACGGCCAUUGAUACUGUUAAACUUGAAUUAUUAGGAAGUAACUAGAAUAUGUAGUGUAGCGGUGAAAUGCUUAGAGAUUACAUGGAAUACCAAUUGCGAAGGCAGGUUACUACUAAUUGAUUGACGCUGAUGGACGAAAGCGUGGGUAGCGAACAGGAUUAGAUACCCUGGUAGUCCACGCCGUAAACGAUGGAUACUAGCUGUUGGGUGCAAACUCAGUGGCUAAGCGAAAGUGAUAAGUAUCCCACCUGGGGAGUACGUUCGCAAGAAUGAAACUCAAAGGAAUUGACGGGG